UACAGAGGGUGCGAGCGUUAAUCGGAAUUACUGGGCGUAAAGGGCGCGUAGGCGGCCUUCUAAGUCGAACGUGAAAUCCCCGGGCUCAACCCGGGAACUGCGUCCGAUACUGGAAGGCUUGAAUUCGGGAGAGGGAUGCGGAAUUCCAGGUGUAGCGGUGAAAUGCGUAGAUAUCUGGAGGAACACCGGUGGCGAAGGCGGCAUCCUGGACCGGCAUUGACGCUGAGGCGCGAAAGCCAGGGGAGCAAACGGG
rnacentral:rRNA from 1 species